UUUACCCCUAGAAAACAUCAUCACCUCAGCAUUUGCCAUCAGUAUCGUGCUUGAGCAGAAACUCGGAGCGAAGUGCAAAAAAAGCCUGACGUCUUCAGAAAAAAUUGCCGAAUUGAGAGAAAAUUUUGCAUGCACAAAACAACUGAUGUAAACAUGUAGAGUUUGCUUGUAAUAUGAAACACUGCCAUAUGCUGUAGUCUUGAAACUUGGCUGUGUCUUGUGUUCAACUGCUUUGGUAUAGUUUGUUGUGGAAAGAAUCGAAUCAUUCUGCAAGUUGGAGGUGAUGUCAGCUGAUGCUACAGCCUCUGAUGUUCGUAAUCGAUGACUAUCAAUUUUAUUUGCAUCUUGUGCCAUUCCAUUAACGUUGCUUGCAUGUGCCAUAGAAGCAGUUAUAGGUUGAGAAUUACGUAACUAGUCAUGAAAAUAAAGUAAAUGGUUUGAA